rnacentral:rRNA from 1 species
UCCGCAGGCGAUCUGAUAAGUAGAUGGUGAAAUCCUUUCGCUUAACGAAAGAACUGCCUUCUAUACUGUCAGGUUAGAGGACAAGAUAGGAAAGCAGAACUGCCGGUGUAAGGGUGAAAUCUGUGGAUAUCGGCAGGAAUGCCAGUGGCGAAGGCGGCUUUCUGGCUUGUAUCUGACGCUCAGGGACGAAAGCAUGGGGAGCGAACA